CAGCACCUCAAGUGGUCAGGAUGAUUAUUGGGCCUAAAGCAUCCGUAGCCGGCGCUGUAAGUUUUCGGUUAAAUCUGUACGCUCAACGUACAGGCUGCCGGGAAUACUGCAGCGCUAGGGAGUGGGAGAGGUAGACGGUACUCGGUAGGAAGGGGUAAAAUCCUUUGAUCUAUUGAUGACCACCUGUGGCGAAGGCGGUCUACCAGAACACGUCCGACGGUGAGGGACGAAAGCCAGGGGAGCGAACCGGAUUAGAGACCCGAGUAGUCC
rnacentral:rRNA from 1 species